ensembl:lncRNA
UGUGGAACUGCUUUCUUCAUUAAGACAUAGUGAUUCAUUCAGCACCCGGGCAUAAUAGCCAAACGAGUCCAGCGUGUUGUUUCUAUAGUAAUAUUUUUCUGUUUAUCUGUCAUGUCUCAAGAGAGAGCUGAGAACAGACUCCAACCUUUAACAUAAAUGCAAACCGUGUGUGACUGCAGCCUUAGCUUAGGGACUCAUUAUGCCACAUUUACUGCCAUGAAGCCAGGCAUUUGGAGAAAAAGCACCCAGCAUCAUUUUUCAGCCCAUACCUUCAACUUCUGUCUUUGCUACUUUUUAGUUUGAAAUUUGCUGAUUUGCAGCACCCAUGGACAAAUUGGUAAUUCAGUACUUUUAUAUAUCACAAAAUAUUUCAGUAGUGUACUUGCCUCGGGACUGUGCUUCAUGCCAGGUUUAACGUGCACUUUGUAACGCCUUGAUGUGUGGGCGAUUUGCUAUCACUGAAUAUGCAAUGAAGGCCACAUUUGAGUCAGUUAAUGUCUCAUCAGACUAAGGGCUAAAACAAGUUUAUGUCCUUUAAGCGUUUUAAAAGUGACUCACUCUGUAAUAUAUUCCGCCUUUAUGAAUUCCAAAUUAAUGUGGGUUUAUAUAUAAGUCAUUCGUUAUUAGUAGCUGCCAGGAGGGCUUGUAAUUUCCCCUGGCAUGACUUCAGACAGAAUCCUGAUGGCAGUCUUGAUGGGACUUAAUGAAACUUCACUGAGGAGAAUUGAGUAAAUUUGCAUGUUGACAAAGGAUGGGGAGGUAACAAGAUAAUGGAGGGGACUCUAAGUCUCCUAAGCCCACAUUUCUGGACAACAGGCUGAGGAGGCCUGUCCGAUUCCAAAAGAUUUGCUGAUACUGAACUGGCAAAAUGUUUUCUAUUUUUUUUUGUUUGUGAUGGUAAAUUUUGAGAUUUUGUGUUAUUUUGGUUCUGAAUUUUUUUUUUUUUUCAAGAGUGUUGCAGGAAGAAAAUAUCCAUCCAACCAUCCAACCAUCCAUUCUCCUCCGAUUCAGACUGGAGCGAGAGAAGUCGGGCUACUCUGUGGACAGGUCACCAGCCUAAAGCAGGGCUAACAAAGAGAGCCAGACUACCCUUCACACUUACAUCCACACCAAUGAGUGAUUUAAAAUCACCAGCUUACCUAACCCCACCAAGUGCAUGCAUUUGGACUUGGUAUUGCAACUCCACACCGAAAGGCAUAUUUGUUCUUUUAUUUCAGAUAAACCGAAGGCAGAAAUGGAUGUGACAGAGUUGAAUAUACUAAGACUUUUGUCAGGACUGACCAGGAGGUAUAGGAUUAGAAAUGAGCAGAUUAGAGACAAAGUUAGAGAGGCAAGGCUGAGGGUGUUUGGUCUUGUGCACGGGAUAGUAGGCAUAUUGCACAGAAGAUAAAGCUGCCAAGCAAGAGGAAAACCCACAGAGAAUAUUCAUGAAUUUUAUGAUGGGGAGGAUUCUAGGAAUAGGGUGAGAUGCAGGAAGAUGAUCCUCUGUGGUGAGCACGAAAACGAAAAAGGAUUUCAGAAAACAUGCACAUUAAAUAAUCGUCCUAAUGGAUCAAAUAAACUAGAGAGACUAUUUAGACAUAUUUAUAUGGUAAAAUACUUCUUUUGAAUUUCACCAUAGAUUUCUACAUAAUGAGC